UACGAGGGGGGCAAGCGUUGUUCGGAAUUAUUGGGCGUAAAGGGUGCGUAGGCGGUGCGGUAAGUCUGUUGUGAAAUCUCCGGGCUCAACUCGGAGUCUGCAUCAGAAACUGCCGUGCUGGAGUGUGGGAGAGGUGAGUGGAAUUCCCGGUGUAGCGGUGAAAUGCGUAGAUAUCGGAAGGAACACCUGUGGCGAAAGCGGCUCACUGGACCAUUACUGACGCUGAGGCACGAAAGCUAGGGGAGCAA
rnacentral:rRNA from 1 species